rnacentral:lncRNA from 10 species
GAGUUGUUGCACAAAUUAGAGAAUAUUUAAUGUAUAGAGAUUUCCACAAUGACUACAUACAGUAGACACCAACUGAAAAAUACUUACAGUUGUUGUUAUUAUUUCUGUUUUUAAGAUCAUUAAUUAAAUUUGAGAAAACAGGCUGGGUGCAGUGGCUCAUGCCUUUAAUCCUAGCACUUUGGGAGGCUGAGGCGGGUGGAUCACCUGAGGUCAGGAAUUCGAGACCAGCCUGGCCACCAUGGUGAUACCCUGUCUUUCCUAAAAAUACAAAAAUGAGCCAGGCAUGAUGGUGCGUGCCUGUAAUCCCAGCUACUCAGGAGGCUGAGGCAGGAGAAUCACUUGAAUUUGGGAGGCAGAGGUUGCGGUGAGCCGAGAUUGCACCAUUUGUACUCCAGCCUGGCCAAUGAAGAGUGAAACUCCACCUCUUGGCCUUCAAGCUGAAUGCAAAUUCGUCCUCCAGGAAUUAGUCAUUCUGUUCUGGGCUGUAGUUCAUGCUUUUCUCCCACUCUCUUUUGUGUCGCACUCAUGAAGAUCCCUUGCAACUGAAGCCAGGAGACAGUUUUUAGUUAAAAAGAGGAGUGAAAAUUGUCCUGGGGAGCUCGGCUCUUGAGACAGGAGUCCUGCCGAUGCUACCGGCCGAUAAACCUCUUCCUUCUUUAACUCGGUGUCUGAGGAGAAAAGAAUAGUUAUCAUCUUUGGAAAAAAAAAAAAAAGGGAGGGUGGAAUUUAUAUAAAAAGAAUGUUAUAUGGUAAAUUAUUGUCCUGAAAUAUAUUAACUGGUUGUUUAAAGAAAGAAAUGUUUGUAAUAAGUCAGAAAGUUAAGGCAUGUCGAAAAAUUGCCUGUAAAAGUCGUGAAAAGAAAAAGUUAUAAAAAAAAGUGUGUUAAAAAGAAAGAAUUUAUGCAAGAAAUGUAUAAUUUAAAAGUAAUUAGGCCUCCUAAAUGUAAAACUAUUGAAGAGACAGUUUAUGUGCAAGGUGUAUAAGGAAAGUAAAGUAUAUAUUUGGUAAAAGGAUUAUAAGGAGGCAUAAGAAUGUGGAUUUUUACCUACAUUAAAAGGUUAAAAAUAUGUGUAUUUUGUUUUAAAGGUUUAAGGAAGUUUUAAAACAUUAAUUGUGUGUAAAUUCUGUGUGUAAACAUAUUAGCUAAAGUUAAAGAAGUAUCAUCCAGUUUUUCUGUAAACCGGACAUUAAAUAAAAGCAUAACAGGUUUUUCUUAAAGCACCAACCUGUUCUUUAACAAAAAUUAUAAAUGGUUAAAAAGAGUCUAAAACAUCUUACCUUAUAGUCAAACAUUAAAAAUUAGAUAAAUAUGUCUACAAGAUUUUAUUAAAAUUAAGUUUAACAUUAAUAACACACUAAUAUAAAGAUAAAAUUUAGCUUAUCUGGUAUAAAAAUCAUACAAAAAGCAUUAUUAAAUAUAAAAUGGUUUUUAGCUCUCUUUGG